UUAAGAUUUCGAUAUCCACCAGGACAAAUGACGGAUUUAGUACCUGUUACUUUUGCAAGCAGACCAGUAGGAUUGGUGAUUGACCCUUUAUAUAACCAUGUGUAUUGGACAGAACGAUCCUCCGGGAAGCUUUGUAGAUGUAAUUUAGAUGGGUCACUAAAAUCAGUUAUAUUGAAGGAUGAUCCACUCUUUGCUCUCACAUUUGAUUAUCGGAACAGAUGGCUGUAUUACAGUACGGAUGGUACAAAAAAAAUCAAUUAGGCGAUUGAAACUUAACGCUUCUGAAAAUCAAACAAUCAUAAAUGUUCAAUCAGAACUAGUUACUGGUAUGAGCAUUGAUAAUGAUAAAGAUCGCCUUUAUUGGAUGGAAUUCAAUAAUGGAUUCUUGAAAUCAUCAACAUUAAAUGGAACUAGUGUCAUAACGGUUUUUAACACAAAUACAAACAAUAAAAACCAAGAUAUCCAUGUGUACCGAGGAAACGUGUACUGUGCAAAUGGUAAUUCUUUACUUAAUGUGACACAAGAAGUAUCAGCGCAUGUCAUUUACAAUAAUACAGGAAUAAUAUAUAGUGUAUUUAUUCAUGAUGAAAACCAUGAAACACGUACGUAUACUUAACAUAUUCGAUAUUCUAAUUUUUUUUAAAAAGGAAAUAUGAAAAGUAUUUUUAAGUGAUAGAUCUAAAUUUUGUUAAAAAGAAACAAUUUAAAACAGGUUUAUAUUUUCUUAAUUAUAAAUUGAUUACCAGUUGAAUAAAUUUAAAUAAUUCACUGCAUUUAGUAAUAUCCUUAAUUUUAGACAAACGACGAUGGAUUAUCUCAUUGAAGUAGAUUACGUUAUACAUUUCUUAUUGUAAUGAUUCAUCAGUGUGUUUUAGCAUUAAUUAUACAGUAAGCAGUGAUUAUGUUCAUUUGGUUUGAAAUUCAGCAGAAAUGUAUUAUUUAACACAAUUAUGUUUUCACAUUCUUUAUUUACUUUUUCGCAAUUAUGUAAAUAUGUGAACUUGCUAGCUUAACUGAUCGCUUUUUUCAUCCAUGCAUUUUUUUUUACUAAAUACGUACUAAGUAAGAUAACAAAAAUACCGAGCUCCAGGGAAAAUUCAAAACGGAAAGUCCCUUAUCAAAUGGUGAAAUCUAAAGCUUAAACACAUCAAACGAAUGAAAAACAAUUGUCUUAUUCCGAGUUUCAUUCAGGCAUUUCCUAAUGCAGAAAAUGGUGGAUUACACCUGGUUGUAUAGCUAGCUUAACCUCUCACUUGUAUGACAAUCGUAUAGAAUUUCAUUAUAUUGACAACAAUGUGUUGACAACAUGUAUGAAGAAUCUGGGUAUAAACAUAAUUGUUGAAACUCGUACCAAUUGUUUAUCAAAAUGGGCUAGUUAAUAGUAUCUCAAGAAAUUGCAUGUCUAACACUAUCAAAUUUUCGUUUAUUAUACUACAUUUUGAACUUAGCCAGUGUGAUGUUCUAUAAACAGGUACUGCAUCUAACGAGCAACACUUGAAUAUUUAUCACUGUCUGCGCAUGACCAAAUGUUCAGUAAAAUAAUUAAUACCGUGUAUAAAUAUGUUAUAAGACGACAGUCUUACAGAAUAAAUCGUAUUAUAAAAACAGCUGAUGUACUCCUUGAGCUGCGUCGGAUAGAAAUCGACCUUAAAAAUAUGAAUAUCAAUACAUCUGUUAACCUAUUUCGGGUUGAAAAAUCUCUAUGCAAAGUCUGUAACUAUUUGAAAAUUGAGUUGUUAUAAGACCCUUACAAAACAGAUCAAAAUUCAUCAUUAAUUUCGUAUUUGAAUGUUCAAAAAUUAAAAUAAAAGGUCACAUGUUAUUGCUGUAUUGUAUUCCUUCGCAUUAAUACUAUCGCUUUGCAAUUAUACGAAUUAUGCAUGCUUAACAAUACACUAAUUAAUAGUACUUUAUUUGUUGUGUGACAAUUAUUUGUAUAAACAAAUUUUAAAAAAUGUAUCAUUCAUGCAAAGUAGUUUUAUGAUUAAUACAGUUUUGAUGUUUCAUGAAAGAACAUGUUGUCAAUCAAUGAACUAAUCUAAGAUACCAGGAUUGAAUUUUGUACUUCAGACGCGCGUUUGGUCUAUAAAAGACUCAACAGUGACGGUCGAAAAAAAAUAAGUUAAAAGUUAAAAAGCUCAAAAAAAAAAAAAAAAAAAAAAAAAAACGAAGUAUGAAUUGGUGAUGUAUGUUUUCUAUAUAGUGGUAAUUGGAGAAGUUAUUCAAUUAUAGUGUUUUCUUAGUUUCUUUAAGCAUAGAUAAUGUGUUUGAAUAUAUAAUCAGUUAUUUUAUUUGAAUCGCUGUGUGUUUACUGACUUUCAAUGGUGAGUAGGAUUAUUUAUAUCCAAACCAAUUUGUUAAUUCUGCACGAAUGCCUAUGAAAUAUAAGAAAAUAGUAGUAACACAGAUGAAUUCAAAACGGACAAUAUGUCAAGGGUCUAAGCGUUCCAUACUAUAAAGAAAUAAGAAGAUGUGGUAUGAGUACCAAUGAGAAACUCUCCAUCCAAGUCACAAUUUGUAAAAAGUAAACAAUUAUAGGUCAAAGUACGGCCUUCAACACGGAGCCUUGGCUUACACCGAACAGCAAGCUAUAAAGGGCCCCAAAAUGACAAGUGUAAAACAAUUCAAACAGGAAAACCAACAGUCUAAUCUAUAUAAAAAGCGAGAAACGAGAAACACAUAAGAACCACAUCAACAAACGACAACCACUGAAACAGGUUCCUGACUUAGGACAGGUGCAAACAAAUGCAGCAGGUGUAUUUAAUCAAAGUCUGACAUUAAGGAAGCAGUUGCAAUCGGUAGGUCUCUAGAUCAUACGACUUUUGAUGUAUCUAAUUCUCAAAGACUAAUAACUGAGCUUUAGUGAUUUGAAAAAAUCAAAAGUUUUUCCUCUCUUAAACAAUGGAAAAAUAAAAAAAAAGAUUUGAAAAUAUAAGGAAACUAUAUUUGAUCUGGACAGCUCUUUACAGAAUGAGCAAUAAACGAUACGUCAUGUCAAGUCUUACAUUGUAAGACUUAUCCUCCGCUACAAACUUAGAAUUAUUCAUACAAUUUGCUGGCAGGCAAUACAGGAACAACAAUGUAUGUGUUGUCAAUGGACAGACAUUUUUUAUCUGUAAAUAACACAAAAUAUUCAACUAUCUAAUAAACUAUUGAAGAGAACGAGAUUGAGCAAAUGCAAAAUGUUUGAACAUUAUUGCAUAAACAAACAAAACCAACUUCCCGCACAAGACUUGACAUUUGCAAAUUAUGCUGAAAUCGAAACGGUCGUUUAAGAUUUAAAUUCUUUUAAAAAGGAUACCAGUUUGUUGGGGUUUUUUUUAACAUACAUCACAGAACAUCACAAUUAAUUGUAAAACAGAGGGGUGUUUCAAUGAAAGUGUCUUUAUUAUUCGCCAUUGUAAACUUCGGUGCAGUUAUAUAAAUUAAUGAGGUUGCUUUGUUUUAGAUGUUUUUAUUUGAUUGUUUUUCAUGGGAUACACACAUGUGACAACUAAAUCAGAAAUGUAUUACUUAAAGGAAACUAAACGAUUAUAAACUAAACAAGACCGGCAGUAUCAAAAAGGAAUGCAUGGUACAUCUUUGAUAAACUGAUAACGGAUAUAAAAAAUCGAAUUUAAGAAUUCAUGUGUGUCGCCAAAACAACAAGAAAAAUAGAGACUAUUGCAAUAAAUGACAGGUCGAGUUUUAUGUUUGGAGUUUUUUGGAGAGACUGAGGACAUAUGUUUACAAUAUUAAUUUGUUAAUUCUAUAAUUCAGAACAAUGUCCACAAGAAAGGAACUAUUGAUUUGUUUCGUUUGAUUUUGAAGAAGAUGAGAAAUUCAUAAAAAGUGUAAGCUAAUAUAAAAUUGAAAUUGGAGAUCAGCCGAGAACUCAAGAUUUAAAAAAACUAUAUAUAUGUUGCAAAUAAAAUAACAUGUCUCUCUAAUAUAAUUCAUAAAACAAUA